rnacentral:rRNA from 1 species
CCUACGGGAGGCAGCAGUGGGGAAUAUUGGGCAAUGGACGCAAGUCUGACCCAGCAACGCCGCGUGAAGGAAGAAGGCUUUCGGGUUGUAAACUUCUUUUAAGGGGGAAGAGCAGAAGACGGUACCCCUUGAAUAAGCCACGGCUAACUACGUGCCAGCAGCCGCGGUAAUACGUAGGUGGCAAGCGUUGUCCGGAUUUACUGGGUGUAAAGGGCGUGCAGCCGGAGAGACAAGUCAGAUGUGAAAUCCACGGGCUCAACCCGUGAACUGCAUUUGAAACUGUUUCCCUUGAGUUGCGGAGGGGAAACGGAAAGUCUUGGGGUGGGGUGAAA